AGUACUGAAACCUUGAUGUGUUCCAAACCUUCACCAAGUGUUUUUUGUGAGCUGCACAGCGCAGUCUCAACAGGGCAACAGAAUAUUUUAACCUCAACAUACGUAAAGUUUUGAUGCAGAGAAAAGUUUUGAAGCAUUCUUAGAUAACAUGUAUCUCUGACAGAUGAGGAAGUCGUGGCUCUUGGAUAUUCGUUAUCUGUUAUCUAAAUAUCUGCUGGCUGCACUGGAAGCCCUGAAACAUCGGCUGUUGCCACCAGAGGCGAAGGUGUUGUCAGUCAAUAGCUGACGGACCUGAGACUACCAGAAUCAACUCAAAUCAAGCUUCUUUGUGGCUUCUCUGACUGAUGGCACCGAGACAGUCGCACCACCGUGACAACUGCAGCCGGGCACUUCGAGUUCAUUAGCUGUGUGUGUGCACAGCUGGACACACAAACACACACACACACACACACUUGUAAGGAGGGACCAUAAAACAGCUGGGGCCACGGCCUCUAUACAGCUGCAGAGGCAGAAGAAGUUAGAGGAGCAGGUUUAAAUCCACAGAGACCAGCUGGGAAACUGUGGGCGGGGAGAGUUAGAGGCUCUCUCCUCCCUCGACAGCCGCUGCUGCUGAUGUGCCUUUGAGCAAGAUGCUCCAACCACAAAAUGUCCAGUGUUCAAAGAGAAAGCAACUUGUCACAGAAACAUCACACACAUAUACCAUGUGGUGAAUUCAAUGCAAAGCUCUCGUACAGGUGUUCAGAACCUGUGCACCUGUAUGCAGGAGGACACAGGUGCACAGGUAACUCCGACUGUCAGACUGUCUGCGUAGACAAUGUUUGAUUGGCAGCUCUUUUGUUAUCUUUACCUGCAGGGGAGGGGCGACUUAGACCUCUCUUUGGACUGAAUCCAGUUUGAUGUGAAGAUGAAAUCUGCUGCAGAGCCCAAAUACAUGAAACACCUGUGAGGGGUUCUAGGUAAACAGGUAACACUUUUAUUUAUUUAUUUGUUCUUCAUAAUGUCACAUUAAAAAAACAUGGAAAUAACAAUGUGGUUUAAUAGCAGCUGUAUGAAAUAGUUCUUUUUAAUAGGAUGGAGUUACAUCAUGAGCAGUUUUCAGUGUGAAUAAGUAAAUAAUCAUUUUAAAUAGAAGAUGUGCAGCUGAUCUGAUGUUUAUUAAUGAAAGACUCUUCUAAUUUGAUCUGCAGUAUGUUCCCUUUAUUAGAAUCAAAUCCAAUAUUUUUGUUUUCACAUUAAACUUCCGAGGACAUUGUGAAUGUAAUGCAAAGUUUUUAAAGAACGCCAGCAGUGAUCCGUGUGUUGGAAGACGUUCUUCAGAAGGCUCCACGCGAUGGUCGACCCCCGGCCCGACUGACGUGUCGCAGAGGAAUCUGAGGGUCUCUCUCACUUUCACCAACCUGUUACUGCAGCUCAUUUGUUUUUCCAAUCAGAGGCCCCCUGGCUAGGACCAAUUAGCAGCAACACACACACACACACACACACACACACACACACACACAGUGAGAGGCUGCUGCAGCACCCAGCUGGAGCAGAUUAGUGGCCCUCCAACCUCUUGUUGUGCUGCCGUGAUGAUCAGGGGGUUAAAGUUAACACCCACACACGAGAGACUGGAGCCACUCUUACAGUGGGAGUGUUUCCGUUAUUCCACCUCUGUAUAAAACAUGCAAACAUGAAAGCUGAAGCAGUGACAGAGGCUGAUGGUUUUGUGUGUAGAGCGCCACGUCUCAUUUGUUUCUGGAGCGACAGCAUGCUGCAGCGUUGUUUCUUCCACUUCUGUCAAAAGUUACUAAAGUCACACUUUGGAGUUACAAUAAAGAUAUUUAUGUAAACUAUA